rnacentral:tRNA from 1 species
GGGUACUUGGUCUAGUGGUAUGAUUCCCGCUUCGGGUGCGGGAGGUCCCGGGUUCAAUUCCCGGAGUACCCC